rnacentral:tRNA from 1 species
AAGAUAGUUUAAUCGGUAAAACACUCGGCUUAUAACCGAGCGAUAUGAGUUCAAGUCUCAUUCUUAG